rnacentral:rRNA from 1 species
CCUACGGGUGGCAGCAGUGGGGGAUAUUGCACAAUGGGGGGAACCCUGAUGCAGCGACGCCGCGUGGGUGAAGGAGCGUUUCGGCGCGUAAAGCCCUAUCGGCAGGGAAGAAGAUGACGGUACCUGACCAAGAAGCCCCGGCUAACUACGUGCCAGCAGCCGCGGUAAUACGUAGGGGGCAAGCGUUAUCCGGAUUUACUGGGUGUAAAGGGUGCGUAGGCGGGUUAUCAAGUCAGCGGUAAAAUCGUGGAGCUCAACUCCAUCCAGCCGUUGAAACUGAUGAUCUUGAGUGGGCGAGAAGUAUGCGGAAUGCGUGGUGUAGCGGUGAAAUGCAUAGAUAUCACGCAGAACUCCGAUUGCGAAGGCAGCAUACCGGCGCCCGACUGACGCUGAAGCACGAAAGCGUGGGUAUCGAACAGGAUUAGAUACCCUAGUAGUC